rnacentral:lncRNA from 1 species
CAUGGGAUUUUAUUAGCAAGGUUACCAGAAUGGUUAAUUAGCGUUUAAGGUUUGUAAAGUGCUUUACAAACACCUCAUUUUAUCCUCUUGACAAUCUCGAGAUAAUGAAGAAAGGAAAGUAAGCAAAGGGAACAAGCCUGUAUAUGGCACCUAUUGUGGGCCAGGCACAGUUAAAUGCUUCAUGAAUACUGUGGCAUUUGAUUCUUAGAACAGCCCUGUGUGGAGGUUUGUGGAGGAAACAUGAUGGAUAGAAUUUGAGUGAAAAUCACCAGAGGCAGAAACAAACAAAAAAAAAUGAUACUGCCAUUGGAUCAUAUUACUGAACAUCCAGGAAGAAGGGAAAAAAAAAAGAUGAGGAUCUAAGGAAACAAAUCAUAGACCUGGCCCAGAAUCAUGCCAGAGUAGUCAUGGAGGACUACAAUGAUCUGGGCAUAUUCUAGAGACAUCUCUCCCUACCAAAAGCAGAACACCUAUUUUUUUUUACUUUGUCUUAAUUACAUACUCAUUUUUGGGAAUAUGGAUGAAGGAAUAAGGCGAACAGGUUUCAGUGAAUCAGAGGGAAAUGCUUUAUGUGAUGAACAAAAUAAAGAGAACCAGUGCUUGGAAAAUCAAACUGAUGACAAGAAGAUAAAGCACAACCAAGGAAAAUGCCCAGCCCAGAACUGCUCAGUGGAACCCCCUGCCUGGAUGCCUGUUCACCACUGUACUGUAAGUCUGAGAUUUUUGAUUCCUAGUUUGGUGAAGCAGAAGGCUGAGAGUUCUCAUAGCAUUGGUGACUUCUUGAAAUUCGGCUAGAGAAGUGAAGCUUUGAAGAGGAAAUAUGUGGAGAGGCUACUGUAAUAUACAUUUUUACAAUAAAGAAUCUUGCAAUUUUUUCA